rnacentral:rRNA from 2 species
AGAGUUUGAUCAUGGCUCAGAUUGAACGCUGGCGGCAGGCCUAACACAUGCAAGUCGAGCGGUAGCACAGAGAGCUUGCUCUCGGGUGACGAGCGGCGGACGGGUGAGUAAUGUCUGGGAAACUGCCUGAUGGAGGGGGAUAACUACUGGAAACGGUAGCUAAUACCGCAUAACGUCGCAAGACCAAAGUGGGGGACCUUCGGGCCUCAUGCCAUCAGAUGUGCCCAGAUGGGAUUAGCUAGUAGGUGGGGUAACGGCUCACCUAGGCGACGAUCCCUAGCUGGUCUGAGAGGAUGACCAGCCACACUGGAACUGAGACACGGUCCAGACUCCUACGGGAGGCAGCAGUGGGGAAUAUUGCACAAUGGGCGCAAGCCUGAUGCAGCCAUGCCGCGUGUGUGAAGAAGGCCUUCGGGUUGUAAAGCACUUUCAGCGGGGAGGAAGGCGGUGAGGUUAAUAACCUCAGCGAUUGACGUUACCCGCAGAAGAAGCACCGGCUAACUCCGUGCCAGCAGCCGCGGUAAUACGGAGGGUGCAAGCGUUAAUCGGAAUUACUGGGCGUAAAGCGCACGCAGGCGGUCUGUCAAGUCGGAUGUGAAAUCCCCGGGCUCAACCUGGGAACUGCAUUCGAAACUGGCAGGCUAGAGUCUUGUAGAGGGGGGUAGAAUUCCAGGUGUAGCGGUGAAAUGCGUAGAGAUCUGGAGGAAUACCGGUGGCGAAGGCGGCCCCCUGGACAAAGACUGACGCUCAGGUGCGAAAGCGUGGGGAGCAAACAGGAUUAGAUACCCUGGUAGUCCACGCCGUAAACGAUGUCGAUUUGGAGGUUGUGCCCUUGAGGCGUGGCUUCCGGAGCUAACGCGUUAAAUCGACCGCCUGGGGAGUACGGCCGCAAGGUUAAAACUCAAAUGAAUUGACGGGGGCCCGCACAAGCGGUGGAGCAUGUGGUUUAAUUCGAUGCAACGCGAAGAACCUUACCUGGUCUUGACAUCCACAGAACUUUCCAGAGAUGGAUUGGUGCCUUCGGGAACUGUGAGACAGGUGCUGCAUGGCUGUCGUCAGCUCGUGUUGUGAAAUGUUGGGUUAAGUCCCGCAACGAGCGCAACCCUUAUCCUUUGUUGCCAGCGGUCCGGCCGGGAACUCAAAGGAGACUGCCAGUGAUAAACUGGAGGAAGGUGGGGAUGACGUCAAGUCAUCAUGGCCCUUACGACCAGGGCUACACACGUGCUACAAUGGCAUAUACAAAGAGAAGCGACCUCGCGAGAGCAAGCGGACCUCAUAAAGUAUGUCGUAGUCCGGAUUGGAGUCUGCAACUCGACUCCAUGAAGUCGGAAUCGCUAGUAAUCGUAGAUCAGAAUGCUACGGUGAAUACGUUCCCGGGCCUUGUACACACCGCCCGUCACACCAUGGGAGUGGGUUGCAAAAGAAGUAGGUAGCUUAACCUUCGGGAGGGCGCUUACCACUUUGUGAUUCAUGACUGGGGUGAAGUCGUAACAAGGUAACCGUAGGGGAACCUGCGGUUG